ACACAUAUACACAUAUAAGUGUAUAUGUGUAUAAUACGUAUACACAUAUACACAUAUAAGUGUAUAUGUGUA
rnacentral:pre_miRNA from 8 species